rnacentral:rRNA from 1 species
AUUGAACGCUGGCGGCAGGCCUAACACAUGCAAGUCGAACGAGUGGCGUACGGGUGAGUAAUGUAUGGGAAACUGCCUGAUGGAGGGGGAUAACUACUGGAAACGGUAGCUAAUCCCGCAUAACAUCGGAUUUGCCCAGAUGGGAUUCGCUAGUAGGUGGGGUACAGGCUCACCUAGGCGACGAUCACUCGCUGGUAUGAGAGGAUGACCAGCACCAAUGGAACUGGGACACGGUCCAGACUCCUACGGGAGGCAGCAGUGGGGAAUAUUGCACAAAGGGCGCAAGCCUGCUGCAGCCAUGCCGCGUGUGUGAAGAAGGCCUUCGGGUUGUAAAGUACUUUCAGCGGGGAGGCGUUACCCGCAGAAGAAGCACCGGCUAACUCCGUGCCAGCCGCCGCGGUAAUUC